GGUGGCUCAGCGGUAGAGUGCUUGCCUUGCAUGCACGAGGCCCUGGGUUCGAUUCCUCAGCACCA
rfam:Dipodomys ordii contig_34480, whole genome shotgun sequence.